rnacentral:rRNA from 1 species
UACGUAGUUAGCCGUGACUUUCUCACAGGGUACCGUCACUGUCUUCUUCCCCUGCGACAACAGUUUACAAUCCGAAGACCUUCUUCCUGCACGCGGCGUUGCUGCGUCAGGGUUUCCCCCAUUGCGCAAUAUUCCCCACUGCUGCCUCCCGUAGGAGUCUGGGCCGUGUCUCAGUCCCAAUGCGGCCGAUCAACCUCUCAGUUCGGCUACAGAUCGUCGCCUUGGUGAGCCGUUACCUCACCAACCAGCUAAUCUGACGCGAGUCCAUCCAUAAGCGAUAAAUCUUUCAAAAUUCUAUGAUGCCAUAAAAAUUUCAAUAUGCGGUAUUAGUCCUCGUUUCCAAGGAUUAUCCCCCUCUUAUGGGCAGGUUACUCACGCGUUACUCGCCCGUCCGCCACUUUCCACCCAACAGUUCACCCGAACGGGAAUCACAAACUAGGGUUCGUUCGUUCGUACUUGCACUGUGUUAGGCACGCCGCCAGCGUCGUCGUCGUCGCGCGAGACUAACGUACU